rnacentral:rRNA from 1 species
CUGGCUCAGGAUGAACGCUGGCGGCGUGCUUAACACAUGCAAGUCGAACGGAGUUUUAACGGAAGUUUCGGAUGGAAGUUAGAACUAGUGGCGGACGGGUGAGUAACGCGUGGGUAACCUGCCUCAUACAGGGGGAUAACAGUUAGAAAUGACUGCUAACACCGCAUAAUAUAGCGAAACCGCAUGAUUUUGCUAUCAAAUAUUUAUAGGUAUGAGAUGGGCCCGCGUCUGAUUAGCUAGUUGGUGGGGUAAAGCCUACCAAGGCGACGAUCAGUAGCCGGCUUGAGAGAGUGACCGGCCACAUUGGGACUGAGACACGGCCCAAACUCCUACGGGAGGCAGCAGUGGGGAAUAUUGGACAAUGGGGGAAACCCUGAUCCAGCGAACCGCCGCGUGAGUGAAGAAGUAUUUCGGUAUGUAAAGCUCUAUCAGCAGGGAAGAUAAUGACAGUACCUGACUAAGAAGCCCCGGCUAACUACGUGCCAGCAGCCGC